AUGUUUCUACCACACUAUAACAGGAGAAAAAUAUCUUUUUAAAAAUUUGAUCAGGUAUCCAUGGUAUCAGAAUAAUGACAUCUGCCCAAUUAACCAAAUAAACCCUGUCCGUAUUGCUAUCACACUACAGAUCUCGGAGUUACAACAUUCAUAAUUAUCUGCAUUUACAUAGUGCAUUUUGCUUCUCAAACAGCUUCCAUGGUUACUAUUUUGUUAAUGAUACUAUCAUUCCUAAUACUUUCUAUUCAAUGCCUUUGGGUAAAUGAAAUAAAAACUAUUAUCCCAACAAAUUACAUUCCCCUCUGUCAUGUCAAUAUUGGAAUUGUAGCUCAUAGGUGUUUGCUUACAUCAUUCACCAAGAAGGAAGAAUGAUAGAGAAAACUUGUGCUCUGACACUACUGAUUCUUACAUAGUGGAACAAUAUCUUUCUUGAUAAUGAAUUGUGGUUAUUGUAAAUCAGUGAUCACGUGACCCUAAAGGCACCCAAAUAAAUCUUUAGUAAAAUAAUUAUGAUGACACAAUGAAUGAAUUAUUUUUAAGGCAUUUUCUUGGACUGGCAAUGUAUUCUUAGAGUGGCGACCGAACGUGCAUACGUCAAUGAUCCAUGUUUUACUCAUUCUAGGGCUCCCCAGGCCACCCAGGGCAACCAGGCCCUCCUGGACCUCCUGGUGCCCCUGGUCCUUGCUGUGGUGGUGUUGGAGCCGCUGCCAUUGCUGGGAUUGGAGGUGAAAAAGCUGGCGGUUAUGCCCCAUAUUAUGGAGAUGAACCAAUGGACUUCAAAAUCAACACCGAUGAGAUUAUGACUUCACUCAAGUCUGUUAAUGGACAAAUAGAAAGCCUCAUUAGUCCUGAUGGUUCUCGUAAAAACCCUGCUAGAAACUGCAGAGACCUGAAAUUCUGCCAUCCCGAACUCAAGAGUGGAGAAUACUGGGUUGACCCUAACCAAGGAUGCAAAUUGGAUGCUAUCAAGGUAUUCUGUAAUAUGGAAACUGGGGAAACAUGCAUAAGUGCCAGUCCUUUGAAUGUUCCACGGAAACACUGGUGGACAGAUUCUAGUGCUGAGAAGAAACACGUUUGGUUUGGAGAGUCCAUGGAUGGUGGUUUUCAGGUAGGAAAGGAUAUACCUUUUUUUAAACAAGUCACCUCUAUAUCCUUUGAAUUCUUCCUAUAUGUUCAUCACAAAGCAAAGUUACUAGGUUGGUACAAACAUAAUUGCAGUUUUUGCCACUGAAAGUGAUGGCAUGCAAUAAAAAUACGUUCACACAUAAAAUACUCAUACAUAAAAUAAAUAAAUAUCCCAUAUUACAAUAUGCAUACACAUACUACAUGAAUCCCUUGCGUGCAGUUGCAACUAAAAUGUUUGAUCUGUUUUAUUUGUUCCCUAUUAUAGUUUAGCUAUGGCAAUCCUGAACUUCCUGAAGAUGUCCUUGAUGUGCAGCUGGCAUUCCUUCGACUUCUCUCCAGCCGAGCUUCCCAGAACAUCACAUAUCACUGCAAAAAUAGCAUUGCAUACAUGGAUCAGGCCAGUGGAAAUGUAAAGAAGGCCCUGAAGCUGAUGGGGUCAAAUGAAGGUGAAUUCAAGGCUGAAGGAAAUAGCAAAUUCACCUACACAGUUCUGGAGGAUGGUUGCACGAAACACACUGGGGAAUGGAGCAAAACAGUCUUUGAAUAUCGAACACGCAAGGCUGUGAGACUACCUAUUGUAGAUAUUGCACCCUAUGACAUUGGUGGUCCUGAUCAAGAAUUUGGUGUGGACGUUGGCCCUGUUUGCUUUUUAUAAACCAAACUCUAUCUGAAAUCCCAACAAAAAAAAUUUAACUCCAUAUGUGUUCCUCUUGUUUUAAUCUUGUCAACCAGUGCAAGUGACCAACAAAAUUCCAGUUUAUUUAUUUCCAAAAUGUUUGGAAAGAGUAUAAUUUGACAAAGAAAAAUGAUACUUGUUUUUUUUUUUUUUGCUGUUCCACCAAAUACAAUUCAAAUGCUUUUUGUUUUAUUUUUUUACCAAUUCCAAUUUCAAAAUGUCUCAAUGGUGCUAUAAUAAAUAAACUUCAACACUCUUA
rnacentral:sRNA from 1 species